rnacentral:rRNA from 1 species
UACGGAGGGUGCAAGCGUUGUCCGGAUUUAUUGGGUUUAAAGGGUGCGUAGGCGGCCUUAUAAGUCGGAGGUGAAACCCACAGGCUUAACCUGUGGAGUGCCUUCGAUACUGUAAGGCUUGGGUUAUCUCUAGGCGGGCGGAAUGGAAGGUGUAGCGGUGAAAUGCAUAGAUAUCUACCAGAACGCCGAUAGCGAAGGCAGCUCGCUGGGGAUAUACCGACGCUGAGGCACGAUAGCGUGGGGAUCAAACAGG